CCCUUAGAUGUUCUGGGCCGCACGCGCGCUACACUGAUGCAUUCAACAAGCCUAGCCUUGACCGAGAGGUCCGGGUAAUCUUUGAAACUGCAUCGUGAUGGGGCUAGAUUAUUGCAAUUAUUAAUCUUCAACGAGGAAUGCCUAGUAAGCGUGAUUCAUCAAAUCGCGUUGAUUACGUCCCUGCCCUUUGUACACACCGCCCGUCGCUCCUACCGAUUGAAUGCGUUGGUGAGGAGCUCGGAUUGGCAGCAGUUGGUGGUUCGCCACCGGCUAUUGCUGAGAAGUCCUCCAAACCGCCCCAUUUAGAGGAAGGAGAAGUCGUAACA
rnacentral:rRNA from 1 species